rnacentral:sRNA from 1 species
GGGGCUUUUCUGUAUAAGGAAUAACUUGUCCGAUAGGGUUAGGAUGAGACCACCAAACUCAUUUUCACUUGUAUCUUAACAGGCAUUGAAUCCAGCUCUCCAGAGGUGAAAGGCUAUUGGGGUAAUGAUUAAAAAAAAAAAAAUCUGUAGUAUUCUACUGUUAUAUUAAUAAACUGGUGGGAGUCUUGUUUCACUGCCCAUGAACCAUACCAGCAACAUGCACAUGGCAGAGAGGAGCUGAGAGAGCAAAGGGGUGGGCCUGGAGCCCCCGAGGGUCCCUUGAUGGAUCUGGCCAACCCCCUUCUAAAAAUGAUGAGACAGCAGCCAUAGCUGAGAUCAGGACUAAGCUUGAGUGUUAGCCAGCUGGCCUGGUUCAGUCCAGGUGUUGUUAAAGAUGGGUACGGGUAUUUGCUGAUGGGAUUUUUUUUUCUUUCUUUUUCUUUGGAAAACAAAAUGAAAGCCAGAACAAAAUUAUUGAACAAAAGACAGGGACUAAAUCUGGAGAAAUGAAGUCCCCUCACCUGACUGCCAUUUCAUUCUAUCUGACCUUCCAGUCUAGGUUAGGAGGAUAGGGGGUGGAGGGCAUUAAUCUGAUACAGGUAUAUUUAAAGCAACUCUGCAUGUGUGCCAAAAGUCCAUGGUACCCAUUAACAGGCAUAAUAUUGGCACUGGUGCUAGUGAGCAUCAGGUGAGAUACAAUUUGGAACACAACAGGAAAGGGGUAGAAGUACAGAAGGACUUGUUUAGACAUUGGUCCUCUUUGAGGAUACCACACUCCCUUGCCCUUGCUUCCAUCCCCCAUCCCUAAUAGGCUGGGCUUUGCAGGAAAUGGCAUGAAAUCAGCUCUUCUGAGUGUACAGAAGAACCUUUCGAGCAUUAUUUCUACACCCUUCUCCCCCACUCUUUCCUCUUUGGAGGCUUCCAAGUUAGUGAUGAAUCCCAACAGCUAAUGAUGCUGGGUUUCCAGUUUAUUUCCUUCUGUUAGUUUAAUGUGCAAGUCAGUGAGGUUUUGAAUGCUGUGCAUUGAAUUUGCUUGCUCUCUUCUGUCUUUUAGCAGGUUUGGAUGCAUCUGCUCAGACUACUUCUCAUGAACUCACCAUUCCAAACGAUUUGAUUGGCUGCAUAAUCGGGCGUCAAGGCGCCAAAAUCAAUGAGAUCCGUCAGAUGUCUGGGGCGCAGAUCAAAAUUGCGAACCCAGUGGAAGGAUCUACUGAUAGGCAGGUUACCAUCACUGGAUCUGCUGCCAGCAUUAGCCUGGCUCAAUAUCUAAUCAAUGUCAGGCUUUCCUCGGAGACGGGUGGCAUGGGGAGCAGCUAGAACAAUGCAGAUUCAUCCAUAAUCCCUUUCUGCUGUUCACCACCACCCAUGAUCCAUCUGUGUAGUUUCUGAACAGUCAGCGAUUCCAGGUUUUAAAUAGUUUGUAAAUUUUCAGUUUCUACACACUUUAUCAUCCACUCGUGAUUUUUUAAUUAAAGCGUUUUAAUUCCUUUCUCUGUUCAGCUGUUGAUGCUGAGAUCCAUAUUUAGUUUUAUAAGCUUCUCCCUGGUUUUUUUUUUUUUUUUUUUGGUUUUUUUUUUUUUUUGGCUCAUGAAUUUUUCUGUUUGUCAUGGAAAUGUAAGAGUGGAAUAUUAAUACAUUUCAGUUUAGUUCUGUAAUGUCAGGAAUUUUUCAAAAAAAUUAAAAGAUGGACUGGAGCUUUUUCUUUGUGAAUAGAAACUGG